AGAAAUUAUUCCACGCGGUGAAAGAAAUUAAACAUCAUUUUAACUUUCACGCAGAAUAGCUAAAGUGAUAUGUGACUUACUUAGAACCAAUGUAUGAUUUUCCAGUAGCAGGGAUUCCGACAAGUAUAAUAAUCAGUUUUUCUCUAAUACCGUAAGAUGCAUUAUUAGAAUCAUUUUCAGUUCGUUUAGAGACUGUUAACCCAGGAAUAUCAAUAGUUGAUUCCUGACGCACCGGAAAUCUACCUGGACGUCUCAGCCGAUUUUUCCUAUGCUUUCCUAACUUUCCUUCGUCCUUCAGCUUCAUCCACUGGGGGGUUGGUUUAGGAACUUCCAUUUUCUCUACAUCAUUAGCGGGACUAUUCCUAUCUGGCGUUAAUUCUUCCCUUUUGAAGAUACUAUCAUCUACAAAUGAAGUCUCUUCUGUAUAAUCGCCAAGUUUCAUAUGUGGUUCCUUUGACGGAUAAUUCUGCUUAGCAUCAUCGUCAGUAUCGUUGUUGGGUUUAGUAGCCUCAUAACCAGUUCCUUUGGUAAAUUCCUCAGUACGGGCGGAACCUGUAUUAGACAUUGCAAAGAAUCUCACGUUUAAUCUUUGCAGAAAUUUCUCUAGAUGAGUUUUAUGACUGAACGAAAAUUGGCAGAGCCAAAAUGAAUGGUGAAUUCCCAAUCCUUCUUAUUGACUGUUAACUCAAAAGGGUUGACUAAUGAUAAUGACUAUUCAAUUCUUCAAUGCUAAUAGUUUCCUUUAAAUUCAAGUAACCUAGCAAAUACACACUCACUUCUAGGCGUGGUGGUACAUUGAUCUGACGAGAAUGAAAUCAUCGUCAGAAUGAAGUCCUUACAGAAAAUUUCUAACACCAACAUCACAAUUCAUGGUUGCUGAUAUGGUUGAAACUAAUUCAUAGUUGACUGUGUUCUAGAAAUUCGACUUGGUUUUCUUGUACAGACAUUCAGUAUAUCUUCGGCCAACUUUAUUCACUAAUAAAUGCUAUCUUCGAAAAAAAAUCAUUCUUAAACAGUCUCAUUACAUGCACUAUCGUAACUGCAGAUUUUUUCACUGUAAACGAUUGCCUAAAAAAUGCAGUUAAAUUAUAAAAUUCAAAUGCUUGGUAUAGGUUGAAGAAUAACAAUGCAUUUAUUGCAGCAAUGGAAAUUGCAAUAAAACCAAUUAUGUGUUACUAUACAUUACUAAGAUUAUUCAGGAUAUGUACAUGAUCAAGCUGUAAAACCAUUUUUCAUUAAGUAUAGAGAUUGAGCAUACACCAAAGUGGUAAGGCUACCUAGAACUGAAAUAAACGAUACAAUUGUUCCAGGACAGUGA